rnacentral:tRNA from 2 species
GCCGACAUAGCUCUAACGGUAGAGCACAUCCAUGGUAAGGAUGGGGUUGCCAGUUCGAAUCUGGCUGUCGGCACCA